rnacentral:lncRNA from 1 species
UGUUGUUGGUGCCAGUAUCACCCAGGUCAAGGUCAAUUCUAGUACUGUUUAUGGGCCAGUAUCCCCAGUCAAGUCCGUCAGUGUCUUUUUCAUUGGGUUUUUUACACCACGUUUAGCCUCUGCUGCCCUCCAAUUUUUUCUUCUUGGCAUCUUUAAAAAUCUGUAAAUACAUAUGAAGUAAUGUACAUGCAAUAACGAGGGGGAAAUGUUACAAAUGCAUAAUGCGAUAAAAGAAAGGCUAGAUGAAUAAUUGCAUAAUGAGAGGUAAUACGAUUAGUAACUUUAAAUACAUCAUGAAUAUAAUAUGUAUUUUCUGUUAUAGAGUUGUCACUUGUUUAGACAUACUAAAAAUACACCUAUAGAUGUAUCUAGAAUACUGAUGCUUCAUUCACACGUACAUUCAAUUCGAAUCGAAUUCGCUAAUCGCAUUCACACACUUCUUUUUUAAUAUGAAUUAUCCUAUUCACAUUAGAAAUACCUUUUUGUAAAUACGAAUUAAAAGAUAACGUCCUUAACCCAGUAAGCAAAUUUGACCCAUAUUGCAAUUUAAAUGAGAAAGGACGUUAGGACGCAAAAUGUUUUGAAUGCCAAUUGAACUUAUUUUGAAUUACGCGUGAACUCAGCAUGAUAUGCUUCAUGUAUUGGAAUAAAA